AUUUAAACCUCUUCCAGAGUAUCAAUUGGAGGGCAAGUCUGGUGCCAGCAGCCGCGGUAAUUCCAGCUCCAAUAGCGUAUAUUAAAAUUGUUGCAGUUAAAAAGCUCGUAGUUGAAUUUCUGCUGCAUUGCUUGUGUCCCUCUGGGGUCUGUGCAUGUGGCUUUUUUCGGACGGAGUUUCUUUGUCUGAAUGUUUACUUUGAGAAAAUUAGAGUGCUCAAAGCAGGCUUUCGCCUUGAAUAGUUUAGCAUGGAAUAAUAAAGUAGGACUUUGGUUCUAUUUUGUUGGUUUUAGGUACCAAAGUAAUGGUUAAUAGGAACAGUUGGGGGCAUUCGUAUUUAACUGUCAGAGGUGAAAUUCUUAGAUUUGUUAAAGACGAACUACUGCGAAAGCAUUUGCCAAGGAUGUUUUCAUUAAUCAAGAACGAAAGUUAGGGGAUCGAAGA
rnacentral:rRNA from 1 species